rnacentral:rRNA from 1 species
UACGUAGGGCGCAAGCGUUGUCCGGAAUUAUUGGGCGUAAAGAGCUCGUAGGCGGCCAGUUGCGUCUGCUGUGAAAUCCCGGGGCUCAACCCCGGGCUUGCAGUGGAUACGGGCUGGCUGGAGGCAGGCAGGGGAGAACGGAAUUCCCGGUGUAGCGGUGAAAUGCGCAGAUAUCGGGAGGAACGCCGGUGGCGAAGGCGGUUCUCUGGGCAUUACCUGACGCUGAGGAGCGAAAGUGUGGGGAGCGAACAGG